rnacentral:lncRNA from 1 species
CACCUUGCGCAGCACGCCGGCGGUCGGAACCAGCGCGUUGAUGGCGCCGGCCAGAUGGGGCAGGCGCGUGAGGAUGGCUGCGUCACGCGCGGGGCCAGAGAUUGUCGUUGUUGUCAUGAUGAUGGUGGUGAUGAUGAUGACGAUGGCAGCGGUCGGUCGCACAGAAAACAAUUUGGGGGCUGCCGACAGAUAGACGGCCGAAAGCACAAACAAUAUAAAAAAAGAGCACGGGAG